GAUGAACGCUGGCGGCGUGCCUAAUACAUGCCAGUCGAGCGAACGGACGAGAAGCUUGCUUUUCUGAUGUUAGCGGCGGACGGGUGAGUAACACGUGGAUAACCUACCUAUAAGACUGGGAUAACUUCGGGAAACCGGAGCUAAUACCGGAUAAUAUUUUGAACCGCAUGGUUCAAAAGUGAAAGACGGUCUUGCUGUCACUUAUAGAUGGAUCCGCGCUGCAUUAGCUAGUUGGUAAGGUAACGGCUUACCAAGGCAACGAUGCAUGGCCGACCUGAGAGGGUGAUCGGCCACACUGGAACUGAGACACGGUCCAGACUCCUACGGGAGGCAGCAGUAGGGAAUCUUCCGCAAUGGGCGAAAGCCUGACGGAGCAACGCCGCGUGAGUGAUGAAGGUCUUCGGAUCGUAAAACUCUGUUAUUAGGGAAGAACAUAUGUGUAAGUAACUGUGCACAUUUUGACGGUACCUAAUCAGAAAGCCACGGCUAACUACGUG
rnacentral:rRNA from 1 species